GUCCUUAGUACGAGAGGACCGGGAUGGACAUACCUCUGGUGUACCAGUUGUCGUGCCAACGGCAUAGCUGGGUAGCUAUGUGUGGACGGGAUAAGUGCUGAAAGCAUCUAAGCAUGAAGCCCCCCUCAAGAUGAGAUUUCCCAACUUCGGUUAUAAGAUCCCUCAAAGAUGAUGAGGUUAAUAGGUUCGAGGUGGAAGCAUGGUGACAUGUGGAGCUGACGAAUACUAAUCGAUCGAAGACUUAAUCAAAA
rnacentral:rRNA from 1 species